UAACAUGGUCAGCAAUGACUGAUGACGAGUGGCGCACGGGUGCGUAACGCGUAUGCAACCUACCUCUUACAGGGGGAUAGCCCGGAGAAAUCCGGAUUAACACCGCAUAAUAUAUCGGGAAGGCAUCUUUCUGAUAUUAAAUAUUUAUAGGUAAGAGAUGGGCAUGCGUCCAAUUAGUUAGUUGGUGAGGUAACGGCUCACCAAGACGAUGAUUGGUAGGGGUUCUGAGAGGAAGGUCCCCCACACUGGUACUGAGAUACGGACCAGACUCCUACGGGAGGCAGCAGUAGGGAAUAUUGGGCAAUGGACGAGAGUCUGACCCAGCCAUGCCGCGUGCAGGAAGAAGGCCUUCUGGGUUGUAAACUGCUUUUGAUCGGGAACAAAAGAGCCCUUGCGAGGGAAGUUGAGUGUACCGAUAGAAUAAGCACCGGCUAACUCCGUGCCAGCAGCCGCGGUAAUACGGAGGGUGCAAGCGUUGUCCGGAUUUAUUGGGUUUAAAGGGUGCGUAGGCGGCUUUUUAAGUCAGUGGUGAAAGACAACAGCUCAACUGUUGCAGUGCCAUUGAUACUGAAGAGCUUGAGUACAGAUGAGGUAGGCGGAAUUUAUGGUGUAGCGGUGAAAUGCAUAGAUACCAUAAAGAACACCUAUUGCGAAGGCAGCUUACUAAGCUGUAACUGACGCUGAGGCACGAAAGUGUGGGGAUCAAACAGGAUUAGAUACCCUGGUAGUCCACACUGUAAACGAUGAUCACUCGAUGUGUGCGAUAGACAGUACGCGUCCAAGCGAAAGCGUUAAGUGAUCCACCUGGGGAGUACGCUCGCAAGAGUGAAACUCAAAGGAAUUGAC
rnacentral:rRNA from 1 species